rnacentral:sRNA from 1 species
GGCUGCAACAACCCCGUGGAUGGGGGCUUAUCUGAAGCGUUCGGCAUUCAUGCUGUUCGCCUCAGGGUGGUUAGUGCAUCCACUGCAGUC